UACGUAGGGUGCGAGCGUUAAUCGGAAUUACUGGGCGUAAAGCGUGCGCAGGCGGUUCGUUGUGUCGGCGGUGAAAGCCCCGGGCUUAACCUGGGAACUGCAUUGGUGACUGCAUUGCUAGAGUAUGGCAGAGGGGGGUGGAAUUCCACGUGUAGCAGUGAAAUGCGUAGAGAUGUGGAGGAACACCGAUGGCGAAGGCAGCCCCCUGGGCCAAUACUGACGCUCAUGCACGAAAGCGUGGGGAGCAAACAGG
rnacentral:rRNA from 1 species